GAUGAACGCUAGCGGGAGGCUUAACACAUGCAAGUCGAGGGGCAGCAUAGGGUAGCAAUACUCUGAUGGCGACCGGCAAACGGGUGAGUAACGCGUAUGUAACCUACCCUGUACAGGGGGAUAACCCGGAGAAAUUCGGACUAAUAUCCCAUAACAAUAUCCGGGGGCAUCUUUGGAUAUUUAAAGUUCCGGCGGUACGGGAUGGGCAUGCGUAACAUUAGCUAGUUGGUAAGGUAACGGCUUACCAAGGCUUUGAUGUUUAGGGGUCCUGAGAGGGUGGUCCCCCACACUGGUACUGAGGCACGGACCAGACUCCUACGGGAGGCAGCAGUGAGGAAUAUUGGUCAAUGGGCGCAAGCCUGAACCAGCCAUCCCGCGUGCAGGAAGACGGCGCUAUGCGUUGUAAACUGCUUUUCCAGGGAGAGAAACUUGCGCACGUGUUGCGCAAUUGACGGUACCCUGGGAAUAAGCAUCGGCUAACUCCGUG
rnacentral:rRNA from 1 species